GGACAGGCAACAGUGGUCAGAUAUCCAUGUUCAAGAGGAAAUGUUUGUUCAAGGCAAAUAAUUAUUUCUCAGUAAUCAUCAUAGCCAACAUUUAUAAGAGACAGAGUCUCACUCCAUCACCCAAGCUGGAGUGCCAUGGCGCAAUCUCGGCUCAUCACUCCAUCACCCAGGCUGGAGUGCAGCGGCACAAUCUCGGCUCACUACAACCUCCGCCUCCCAAGUUCAAGUGAUUCUCAUGCUUCAGCCUCCUGAUCAGCUGGGACUACAGGAGUGCACCACCAUGCCCAGCUAAUCUUUGUAUUUUUUGGUAGAGACGGGGUUUCACCAUGUUGGCCAGGCUGGUCUCAAACUCCUGGCUUCAAGUGAUUCCCCCCAACCUCGGCCUCCCAAAGUGCUAGGAUUACAGGUGUGAGUCACCACCACCACAUCUGGCCUAGGACUGUUUUUUUUUAGACAAAGGUAUAUAUCACUGUUUCACCUAAAAACAUUUAACAAUCAUCUCCCUCCAAACAUUGUAAUGGGUUGAUAUGUCUCUGAAGUCUCUUUUAAUCUGUAGGUUCCCACUCCAUUAUUUAUUUUACCUUGAAAAAAAGGUUAACCAAGUGUUUUGCCCUACAGAACCUGGGUGAAUUUUAAAGAUACUAUCACAGAGCUCUCACUGCAGUAGGACGACAGCCAGAGUCUCAAGAGCACACCUACUAUAGAAAUUAAAAUCAAGAAUUCUGGAGCCAAAUUGCCUGGGUUCAUAGCAUGGCUCUGCCACUUCUUAGCCACAGGACAACCUCUCUGUGCCUCAGUUUUCCCAUCUCUAAAAUGGGGAUGACACUAGUAACUACCUCACUGGGUUGUUUUAAGAAUUAAAUGACUUAAUGUAUGUCCAAUUCUUAGAACAGUGAUGCUUAGAAUAUAGUAAAAGAUAACAUAGGUGAGAAAAAAUUGAGAGGCAGGGAAGCUGACUGGUCCAAGGUCUCGCAGCUAAACAAUGGCAGGGCAGAGAGCAGAGCGUGGAUUUACCCCACUGGUUUAAUACUCUGUUUCAAACCAUCGAUGAAUGCAGACUCUCGUUGAUGUGGGCAUUACUCUGCCCCUUACCAGGAUGUUACUGCCAUUCUGUUACUAAAUCACUGGGAUGAGGUUAGGAAACUUCUGCAGGCCUCAGGCUCCUGCUCUGCAAACUGAAGGAACUGGAGGUGUGGUUAAGGUGCCUGAACCCCCUUUUAGGAGAAAUCUCAGCAGAAGAUGCCCAAGCAAGCCUUGCAGGAAGUCAUCCAGGCCACCUUCAAGUCAGUGCCAACCGCAGAAUCUUUAGAUCCCCCAAAAGAGCACCUGUCCCUUUAUGGUGCUUCUGACAGAGAACCCCGAGCAACCCUAGACCUCCCUCAACCUGACUCAGGGGUGCCCACCACUCCCCAUCCUCCCUGACACACAUAAUCCUGGCUGAGGCAGCCCAAAUAGCAGCUUCCCUGGAUUACUCACCGUGGCCCUGUGAGAAGAAUGCCUCUCCAAGCCAGCGUCCGCAGUUGUGACCACAGAGGGGAGACUAGCCUAAUUGGACUUACCAGCAGCUCACCUUGGCUUCCUCAAGGCCCAGCAGCAGGACAGGGCCUUUCUCUGAGCGGAACUUGAACAAUAAAAGAAGCAGGUGACCUCCAGUGGGCCCUUGAGGGUGUGAGAGGCAGCUCUGCGGGCCCACCCUAGAGCUGCAUGUGGACAGCUAGAACAGCCUAGCCUUUCUGACAUUGCCGGCCUAAGAGGUUUCAUCUUUAGGGUUUUUUUCCUUCUCAGGCUGCUAGCUUCCAUCUCACUUAAUACUGAAGGAUGGUUGCCAUUGUCUUAAUUUAAGCAUCUGAAACAAACUACUUAGCAAAAACCAUUUUCAUUGUAUCCAAACCCAGUGUCUUCAGUUUGAGCUCCCUGAAAUUCCAAACACAUGUUCAAACCACCAGGAAAGAGGGAGACACUGAGAAGAGGGGGACUAAAGCAGGGAAGUCACUAUGAGAUUCUCCCCAAAAUCCCAAUGUUCAGCCUCUGGGUGAAGGACAUUCCAUCCUGAGACAGAGGGGUUUCUCUCUUCACCAGCACCUUUCUGAAGUGUCUGUGUUACAGGCAGUUCAGUGCUCGCACAGCAGCCUGAAAUUCUUAGUCCUCCCACACAUCUCCAGUCAAGGAGCGCUGGCCAUGCCCCUUCAUUGUCCAUAAACACCCAGGCUCUUAUUUAGAAGCAACUGAUUUCUCAAAUCUUUUCCUAUGUAUUUAUUCACUAAACCUGUCAAGCAACACAUUUAAGCAUGACAGAGAAAGAAUAUGGGCAUGUGUUAGGAUUCCCUAGAGAAACAGAACCAAUAGGAUGAGUAUAUGGAGAGGAGAGGUUUCGUUUAAGGAAGUGCCUCAUGCAGUUAUGGAGGCUGGCAAGUCCAAAAUCUGCGCGGUAGGCCAGGCAGGCUGAAGACUCGGAGAAGAGCCUAUACCCAGUUCCAGUCAAAAAGCUACCUGCUGCACAGCUCCCUCUUACUCAGGAAGCUCAGUCUUUUAUUCCAUUCUGGCCUUCAGUUGAUCAGAUGAGGCCCACCCACAUUACAGAGGGCCAUCUGUUUACUCAAAGCCCACUGAUUUCAAUAUAAACAUCAUCCCAAAACACCCUCCCAGAAACAUCCAGAAUAAUGUUUGACCAACUAUCUGGGUACUAAAGCCCAGCCAAGUUGGCACAUCAAAUUAAUCAUUGCAGGGUGUGAGCAGGAGAAAAAAGAAGAGAUGAGAUUGCCCUGAGCCCAAAUCCAGAAAGCAGGGCACAACAGAGAGCUAAAGACCCCUGAGUAAAGCCACCUCCUGCCCCAAAGUCCUUCCCUGAUGCAGACUCGCUGGACAGCCAGAUACGUGAACAUGCAGGUACAGGCGCAGACCCUUCUCCCUUCCCUCCUCCUCCAUGCCUUUCACAACUAUUUGCUGAGUGUCACUGUGCCAAGCCCUGGGGCUAAAACUAAUCAAGACUUGGUUCUUCUGUACACUUAAAAGUGGUUAAAAUGGUCAAUUUUAUGUUAUGUAUAUUUUAUCACAAUUUAAAAUAAAUUUGAAAAAAAA